GACAGAGGUGCCAAGCGUUAGGCGGAAUCACUGGGCUUAAAGCGUGUGUAGGCGGGUGCCUAAGUACCUUGUGAAAUCCCACGGCUCAACCGUGGAACUGCUGGGUAUACUGGGUGCCUUGGGUCAUCUAGGGGCUGCCGGAACAAAUGGUGGAGCGGUGAAAUGCGUAGAUAUCAGGAGGAACACCCGUGGCGAAAGCGGCUCUCUGGGACGGUACUGACGCUGAGACGCGAAAGCGUGGGGAGCAAACAGG
rnacentral:rRNA from 1 species